rnacentral:misc_RNA from 1 species
GAUGAAGAACGUAGCGAAAUGCGAUAAGUAAUGUGAAUUGCAGAAUUCAGUGAACCAUCGAAUCUUUGAACGCACAUUGCGCCCGGCAGUAAUCUGCCGGGCAUGCCUGUCCGAGCGUCAUUUCUGCCCUCGAGCCUGUCCAGCAUCUAGGUGCUGUUCCGGCCCGGCGUUGGGGCACUACGGGAAGCCUCGUGCUAUCCCCCGUAGGCCCCGAAAUGAAGUGGCGGUCCUGCCGCGGCUCCCCCUGCGUAGUAUUACAGCUCGCUUCGGGACCCGGUGGAGGCCUGCCGUCAAACCUUACUCUCUAAGUUUGACCUCGGAUCAGGUAGGGUUACCCGCUGAACUUAAGCAUAUCAUAAGCGGAGGA